rnacentral:rRNA from 1 species
GACGAACGCUGGCGGCGUGCUUAACACAUGCAAGUCGAACGAAGUGGCGAACGGGUGAGUAUUACGUGUGUAACCUGCCCUCCUUUUUGGGAUAAGCCUUGGAAACGGGGUCUAAUACCGAAUAGAGGGGUAUGGGCUCGCGGCCUAUCAGCGUGUUGGUGGGGUGAUAGCCUACCAAGGCGGUGACGGGUAGCCGGCCUGAGAGGGUGACCGGCAACAUUGGGACUGAGAUACGGCCCAGACUCCUACGGGAGGCAGAAGUGGGGGAUAUUACGCAAUGGGCGAAAGCCUAAUGCAGCGACGCCGCGUGGGGGGUGAGGGCUUUCGGGUUGUAAAACUCUUUCGCAAUCGAACGGGUAGGUGAAGAAGAAGCGCCGGCUAACUACGUGCCAGCCGCCGCGGUAAUAC